rnacentral:snRNA from 10 species
GGAUAUGAGGGCGAUCAGGCUGUGACGCCUGUCACCCCACUGAUUGCCAGGGUUGAUUUGGCUGAUCUGGCUGGCUAAGCGGGUGUCCCCUUCCUCCCUCACCACUCCACGGGCAUCCCUCCCGAAGCUGCACGCCUCGUGGAAGAAAAUGACCAUCCCCGAGGAGGACCGGUCUUUGGUCAAGGAUAUAGGAGUAGCUGUGCUCCCGUGAUAGAUUCUUCAGACACGGUCUCAAGCUUCAUUUGUAGGAGAACGUAGGGUAGUCGAGCUUCCAAGACCUCAGACACAUCCAAAUGAGGUGUGACGUGUGGCAGUCUGCUUUU